GACGAACGCUGGCGGCGUGCUUAACACAUGCAAGUCGAACGGAAAGGCCCUGCUUUUGUGGGGUUCUCGAGUGGCGAACGGGUGAGUAACACGUGAGUAACCUGCCCUUGACUUUGGGAUAACUUCAGGAAACUGGGGCUAAUACCGGAUAGGAUCUCCUGCUGCAUGUUGGGGGUUGGAAAGUUUCGGCGGUUGGGGAUGGACUCGCGGCUUAUCAGCUUGUUGGUGGGGUAGUGGCUUACCAAGGCUUUGACGGGUAGCCGGCCUGAGGGGGUUAACGGCGACAUUGGGACUGAGAGACGGAGCAGACUCCUACGGGAGGCAGCAGUGGGGAAUAUGGCACAGUGGGCGGAAGCCUGAUGCAGCAACGCCGGGUGCGGGAUGACGGCCUUCGGGUUGUAAACCGCUGUCGCCUGUGACGAAGCGUGAGUGACGGUAAUGGGUAAAGAAGCACCGGCUAACUACGUG
rnacentral:rRNA from 1 species